GACAGAGGGUGCAAACGUUGUUCGGAAUUACUGGGCGUAAAGCGAGUGUAGGCGGUUUGGAAAGUCGGAUGUGAAAGCCCCGGGCUCAACCCGGGAAGUGCACUCGAUACUCCCAAGCUAGAGUAUCGGAGAGGUUGGCGGAAUUCUCGGUGUAGAGGUGAAAUUCGUAGAUAUCGAGAGGAACACCAGCGGCGAAGGCGGCCAACUGGACGAAUACUGACGCUGAGACUCGAAAGCGUGGGGAGCAAACAGG
rnacentral:rRNA from 1 species